rnacentral:rRNA from 1 species
UACAGAGGGGGCAAGCGUUAUUCGGAAUUAUUGGGCGUAAAGGGCGCGUAGGCGGCGAUUCAAGUGACGGGGUGAAAUCCCUCGGCUUAACCGAGGAACUGCCUGUCAGACUGGAUUGCUUGAGGCCGGGAGAGGUGAGUGGAAUUCCCAGUGUAGCGGUGAAAUGCGUAGAUAUCUGGAGGAACACCGGUGGCGAAGGCGGCAUCUGGACCAACACUGACGCUGAGG